AUUGAACGCUGGCGGCAGGCUUAACACAUGCAAGUCGAGCGGGGGAAGGUAGCUUGCUACCGGACCUAGCGGCGGACGGGUGAGUUAUGCUUAGGAAUCUGCCUAUUAGUGGGGGACAACAUCUCGAAAGGGAUGCUAAUACCGCAUACGUCCUACGGGAGAAAGCAGGGGAUCUUCGGACCUUGCGCUAAUAGAUGAGCCUAAGUCGGAUUUGCUAGUUGGUGGGGUAAAGGCCUACCAAGGCGACGAUCUGUAGCGGGUCUGAGAGGAUGAUCCGCCACACUGGGACUGAGACACGGCCCAGACUCCUACGGGAGGCAGCAGUGGGGAAUAUUGGACAAUGGGGGGAACCCUGAUCCAGCCAUGCCGCGUGUGUGAAGAAGGCCUUAUGGUUGUAAAGCACUUUAAGCGAGGAGGAGGCUACUUUAGUUAAUACCUAGAGAUAGUGGACGUUACUCGCAGAAUAAGCACCGGCUAACUCUGUGCCAGCCGCCGCAGUAA
rnacentral:rRNA from 1 species